UGUCAUUCUCUGCUGAUCCUGCCAUGGACUUCAGGCUCUUCUGCUGUCUGGCUCUUUGUGUCCUGGGGACAGAUCACACCAAGGCUGGAGUCUCCCAGUCUCCCCCUCACAGUGUCAUCAAAAAGGGACAGAAUGUAUCUUUCAGGUGUGAUCCAAUUUCAGGUCACUUGGGCCUUUUCUGGUAUCAGCAGAAAUCGGGGCAAGGCCCAGAGUUUCUGAUUUAUUUCCAGAAUGAAAUCCCAACAGACAAAUCAGGGCUGCCUGGUGAUCGCUUCUCUGCAGAGAGGCCUGAGGGAUCCUACUCUGUUCUGAAGAUCCAGCCCGUGAAGCAGGAGGACUCAGCGGUGUACCUCUGCGCCAGCAGCUUAGCCACAGCAGAGCACAGUCACCUCCUCCCUGCUCACAAACCUCAGAGGCCACUCCCUCUUCACUGCUGUCCUAAACCCUGCUAA